rnacentral:rRNA from 1 species
AGGCGUCCGUAGGUGAACCUGCGGAAGGAUAGUUA